rnacentral:tRNA from 1 species
GAGAAUUUAUUAUAUUUAUGUAUUUCUGAUUGCAAAUCAGAAGGUUGCUUCUUU